rnacentral:rRNA from 1 species
AUUGAACGCUGGCGGCAUGCUUUACACAUGCAAGUCGAACGGUAACAGGCCUUCGGGUGCUGACGAGUGGCGAACGGGUGAGUAAUGCAUCGGAACGUACCCAGAGGUGGGGGAUAACGCAGCGAAAGCUGUGCUAAUACCGCAUGUGAUCUGAGGAUGAAAGCGGGGGACCGAGCAGCAAUGUUUGGCCUCGCGCCUUUGGAGCGGCCGAUGUCGGAUUAGCUAGUUGGGGGGGUAAAGGCCUACCAAGGCGACGAUCCGUAGCUGGUCUGAGAGGACGACCAGCCACACUGGGACUGGGACACGGCCCAGACUCCUACGGGAGGCAGCAGUGGGGAAUUUUGGACAAUGGGCGCAAGCCUGAUCCAGCAAUGCCGCGUGCGGGAAGAAGGCCUUCGGGUUGUGAACCGCUUUUGGCAGGAACGAAACGGUGUCCGCUAAUACCGGGCGCUAAUGACGGUACCUGCAGAAUAAGCACCGGCUAACUACGUG